UCUACGGGUGGCUGCAGUGGGGAAUAUUGGACAAUGGGGGGAACCCUGAUCCAGCGACGCCGCGUGAGUGAAGAAGUAUUUCGGUAUGUAAAGCUCUAGCAGCAGGGAAGAAAGACAUGACGGUACCUGACUAAGAAGCCCCGGCUACCUAUGUGCCAGCAGCCGCGGUAAUCCGUAGGGGGCAAGCGUUAUCCGGAUUUACUGGGGGUAAAGGGAGCGUAGACGGCGAUGCAAGUCUGACGUGAAAGGCGGGGGCCCAACCUCCGGACUGCUGUGGAAACUGUAUGGCUGGAGUGCAGGAGAGGUAAGUGGAAUUCCUAGUGUAGCGGUGAAAUGCGUAGAUAUUAGGAGGAACACCAGUGGCGAAGGCGGCUUACUGGACUGUAACUGACGUUGAGGCUCGAAAGCGUGGGGAGCAAACAGGAUUAGAUACCCCAGUAGUC
rnacentral:rRNA from 1 species